AUUUGUCCUUUAAUUGGGGACUGGUAUGAACGGUUGAACAAGAAAUUAACUGUCUCUACUGCAAAUUUUGAAUUUUACAUUUAAGUGAAAAGGCUUAAAUAAUAUGGGGGGACGAUAAGACCCUAUAAAUCUUUAUGUUUUAACUAAUAAAUUUUAGAGAUUAGUUAAAUAUUUAGUGUUAUUAAGUUAAAAUAUUUUGUUGGGGCGACAGGAGUACAACAAGUAACUGCUUUGUUUAUAAAUUAAUUAUUUUUAUUAUGGAAAUUGUUAUUGAUCCUCUUUUGGAGAAAUCAGAAUAAGUUACUUUAGGGAUAACAGCGUAAUCUUUUUUGAGAGUCCAUAUCGAAAAAAUGGUUUGCGACCUCGAUGUUGAAUUAAAGAUCCUUGGUGGCGUAGGGGCUACUAGAGGAGGUCUGUUCGACCUUUAAAUCUUU
rnacentral:rRNA from 1 species